AUACGUAGGGGGCGAGCGUUGUCCGGAAUGAUUGGGCGUAAAGGGCGCGUAGGCGGCCCGGUAAGUCUGGAGUGAAAGUCCUGUUUUUAAGAUGGGAAUUGCUUUGGAUACUGUCGGGCUUGAGUGCAGGAGAGGUAAGUGGAAUUCCCAGUGUAGCGGUGAAAUGCGUAGAGAUUGGGAGGAACACCAGUGGCGAAGGCGACUUACUGGACUGUAACUGACGCUGAGGCGCGAAAGUGUGGGGAGCAAACAGGAUUAGAUACCCUGGUAGUCCACACUGUAAACGAUGAAUGCUAGGUGUAGGGGGUAUCGACCCCUUCUGUGCCGCAGUCAACACAAUAAGCAUUCCGCCUGGGGAGUACGGUCGCAAGGUUGAAACUCAAAGGAAUUGACGGGG
rnacentral:rRNA from 1 species